GUUUACUCCUACAUGUUGCUCAGUUGCUCACGUUGCUUCCUUUCUAAAAGCAUCAUUGUAUUUUGGAAUCAGACACAGUCGAGGAACACUUACUUUGUUAACAGUGUCUCACAAAUCGUGGCAGCGUAUGGUGGAAGUGUGGUAGGCAAAGGCGUCCUGGAAUUUCUUUCUCCAAUUACUUGCUAUUGCCAAAAAAAAAAAAAAAAAAAGCACAGAAGGAAAAGCAUGAGGGUCAGAGGGUCAACUAUAAGCAUACGUGUGUUAUAGAAUUAAUAUGGGGUUGAGACCAGUCAAUUAAAUACAAAUGGAUAAGUCCGAAGGAGUCUGAAUAUGAAGGGACUUGUAGGAGUGCAGGAUAAGUAGAGAUCAGGGAGAGGAAAGAAAAACUGAUGAACAGACUAGGGCAGAUUAGUCUGCAGGAUGAAUUCUCCCUGCAUACUUUUUCAUCUGGGGUUUUGGGUUAGGACUCACCAUGUGGAAAAGUAAAGAUUUGGAGAGAGAGAAUGCCUGGUGCUGCAGUUGGAGUGAAGCUGCAGAAGGGUGCCAAAGGAAAGCCUGUUUUCAUCCUCUUGUGCAUCCUGACUUCCUGCCAUUGCCUUCUGCACUAGAAGGCAGUUUUUGAAAGUAUCAAACAAAGUUAAGUUACCUGGAGCUAAAAUUAAGUGAGAUAAAGGAAUCCAGAAUGGCAAUAUGAAACAAAAAACAUUCUCAGAUAAGGUUCUUUAUUAUAUUCCUUGACCCAUACAAUAACGUCAGUGACACUUUACUGCAAAGGUAGUCAGUAACAUGUAAAUACAAGCAGAAUCCAUCUCUGUUCUCUUGUGUAUGUAAGAUAUAUAUUGAAUGACAUAUGUGUAGGGACUGAGGAACUUGCAAACCAGUGGAAUAGUCUUGUUCAUGUAAACUUGAGUGUGGACAGCAAUUGCUUAAUAUUCAGCAUCUUUACCAAAAUGUUUUAUCACCGAGCAUCUGUUACACAAGUAUAGUGACUGUGUCACUUAGUGUUAGGAUACAGGUACCCUUAGGAGGACAGUACAAUUGCUUCCUUCUAAGGUGGAUUAGAACCAUAGGGGUAACAGACUCUUGUGCUAUUUUGAAUGUCUUCUGGUAGAUAGCCACAGGAAAUUUUCCUGCUGAAAUGACAAGAAUUCUUUGAUGUAGCUUGUUCUGUUAGAGGAUAUGUUGAAAUGUCUGUAUUAUUUCAAUGAUGAGCUUUUUUUUUCUGGCACCUAUAAAUGUAUGUUCAUGGUAAUAAUAAGCAGUAUCUUGUCAGCAGCUAUCUACCGUAAGUGAUCACUAAUCCACUUUACAAUCAUUU
rnacentral:lncRNA from 1 species